rnacentral:lncRNA from 1 species
GUUAAAUCCGCCGAAUUCUUCUCUUUCCUUUCCCGUUUCAAAACCCACCACCUUCCCAGCGCUCGCCCUUUGACUUCCUGCCGUGACACCCGCGGGGUUUUCGAGGAGUCACGCGAGGCCUCUCCUGCCCAAACCCGGAUUCCCACCCCCUCCCGCCGCGUUCCAGGCUAUUGGCUCUAACUCCCGCGCCAGCCUCUCGGUCCUCCUUCUCUUCACCUUUGCUCCCAGCAGUCAGGAAACGUCUACUGAAUCCUGUUCACCGUGGCUCUGUGCCUGCACUGUGAAAUGGGUCGCUGGGUGAACAGAGUAGCUGCCUUCUCAACCGUAGAGACGCAGCCGGUGCCUGGCGAGUAUUGGGGCGCUUCUUCCAGUUCUUGUUCGUUAAUAUGCACGUUGCCAUGAUCUCUGGGCCUGAUGUGGGGACGACCUUUUGCUAUAAAUUAUGGAGAAAUCUU